AGUAAUUAGCAGCAUUUUAAGUGGGCAUCUAGAGAUAUCAUGAUCCUACCACCUUGAGGGUGCGUUUGGUUCGCGCUAUCUUUUAAAGAUUCCUAGUAAUCCAAUGGGAAUAAAAAAAUAUGACGGUGUUUGGCUAAACGCACUAAGUAAUCUAGUUGGUAAUAUUGGAUUCACUUGGAAAUAAGAUUCAUCCCAAAGUACUAAUCUCAUUCCCUUGAGGGAGGGUGGAUAUCCUCAUAUUAAUGGAAUGGGGUAAUCAUAAUAUGUCUAAUCUCUUUCUUUCUUCUUACCCGCCGGCUAAUUGAUAUUAUUUUUCUUUACACUCUAACCUUAUAUCUCUCUCUAAACUUAUUUUUCUCUCUAAAAUUCAACUUUUUUUUCUCUCUCUAAACUAAGCUUUCUCUCUCUCUCUCUUUCUAAAAUUUCAACUCUCUUACUCCCUCUAGUUUCGACUAUAUUUUUCUUUCUAUUUUUUUAAUUAUGCUCUCUCUCUCUAACUUAUACUCUCUCUCAUUUUUUUAAAAAAAGAUGUUGAAACUUUUGGUAACAUUAUCUAAAAUUAAUUAAAUAAAUAAAUUAAUUAAUUGUAUAUUUUUUGUAAUAUUAAAUAAUAUGGCUAAUUAAUAUUACCGUGCGAACCAAACACAGGAAUUUCACAUUCUUAGUAAUAGGAUGAAUAGGAAUAAAAUUCUCGGAUAUCUUUUAUUCCCAGUAAUCUUUCAUAAUGCGAACCAAACGCACCGUAAAGAUGAAGUCUACUGUAUCAUAUUUGCACAACAUCAUUAAUAACAAAUCAAUCGUAUCUCUCUAGUUAAGAGAAAAGUAUAAUAAAUUUUUUUUAUUGAUCAUAAUGGAACAUAGAUGAAUAAUUUU
rnacentral:lncRNA from 1 species